AAGAGGGAGGAUAAAAGGAGGCAGAGAGGCUGACUUUCCAUUCAUCCUCCUGACUGAGAGACGGCAGGAUGCUCAACUCCUCACCUCACUUCCUCCACUCGGCAACUUUUCCUCUCUGAGCAUUUUGGUUCUUUUAUUCCUGCAGGUGAGAAUGGAUCAUUUUUGCCGGGCUGUUUGUUUUUUCUGAGUGCUUGGCGAGUCCUGAGGGUGGAAGUAAGGACGUGAGGCUGUUGAUGGAUCAUUUUUUUAAAGGAUGCAGCAUCUGAUUCUUUGGGAAGCAAAAUAUCAACGUGAUUGAAGCAAGAACUGCAAAGGAAACAGAAGAGAGAGAACUGCACUUUACACCUUCAAGCGGUGAUUUUUCAACAUAUUUACACCAUACCAGCGAAAUAUCACCACUGAGUGAGGAGCGUGCAUUAAGUGAGAUUUCAAACCUUCUUGCCUCCUGUGACUGGAAAGUGCCGGAAAAACUUUCCUGAGUUGGAAAAUGCUGAAGAAAGAAGGUUACGGCAGUCCUGGACGCUUUCUUAUUGGCUCAGCCGCCGAACACCCAGCAAGAGACAAAAGAGAAGGACCCGGCGCUGAGAAAACAUCAGAUGAUGUCAAAUGAAUUUUCCGAAAAGAUUUGUGCUUUUUGCUCUAAUUACACCAAGGCAUCCUGAAGCUGAUAAUCUCACCACUACCACCAUGUUUGACGACCGACAGGUUGGACUGAUACAGAUCGCUUUGAUGUGUUCAUGGUGUGUUUGCGCUGGCCUGGACCGACCGCUCUCUGAGGGACUAUCAUUGCUGAUUUUAACUCUUACUGACUGAAGGAGGAUAUGGAUUCUUCAAGAGAAAACUAAUGUGAUCCUCAAUAGUCGGGAUCCCAGGAGAAAACAGGAACACACAGAAUGGAUCAACUCAAGAUUAACAUGGACUGAUCUUCGAACUUUUACCAACCAAAUACAUGUUUGUGGAAAAAAAAGAAAGCAUGUUCUUCAAUAAUAAACUAAGAACCUUCUGUCCUUUAAUAACUUAAAAUUUAGUAAGCUUAAAUGUACAUUUGUUGAAAGAAUUAAAAAGACAUUGUUUAACCUGUUUAUUAUUAUCAGGACAGGUAAGUUAAUACAUUACCAUCAAUGCUCCUUUUUACCCAACAGACUCCAAAAUAUGUUCAAAAAUUAAUUUAAUAUCUUAUUUAUUUUUGUUAAAACUAGGUCUGUGAUUCCUACAUCAGAAAAGCUUUAUAUUUACCAUAAAGCCAUCUAAACUAUUAUAUGUGUUUGCUGUUUUCACUUUAAUGGAAUUUGACAAACAUAGAGAGUAGAGAGCUGAUAAAUUAUUAGUUUAUAUUCAAUACAAUAAGUAGAGAACCAUUUCAAAGAGUAACAGGAGUUUAACAAGGUGACAUUAGAUGGUUAAAUUGUCUGGAUAUUUGUUCUGGUUAUAGCUUGCAGUUCGCUGCUUCACAGUUCUGAUGCUGGGAGUUUGGUAACUCUGGUUUUGAAAUAUUGUGAUCAGAAACAUCACAAAAGAGUCAAAUUACUCUGUUUUUAAAUUGAGUUGAAACUGUAUUUGAAUUUUCUGCUAGUUAACUGAAUCAAUCUGCUACGUGCCUCUGGCAUUUUAAAGUGACUUGGGAGAAUAUUUUAGAGGGCUUAAACUCAAAACCUUUUCAAAUCUUGAUGCUGAGAACUAGUUAAUGUGAAAUCAUCGUCACCAAACCAGAUUCAUUUUCUAGAUCAAAGAUAGAAAAGUGUUCAUGAGCAGGAUACUUUACUGAGAUAAACUCACUUCAAACUAUUCAUUUGGACUAAUUCCUCUGUGUGUGUUUGGCAAAUAACUGUUGUUAAUCUCCAUUUAUAUGUUUAACUUUCAACCAAACAAGAUCUUAUUAACACAGUCCUCUAAUGUUUAGUGGAAAAGUGCUGCUGCUGGCUUUCAUAAUCACUUUCAGUCAUAAUCCGCCAGCAGCCAGAAAUGACAGAAAGUGAUAGGCAGGAGCUAAAACAGGAAUAUAACAGAGCUAGAGCCUGUCACAGUGGUGUCCCUUUUUCUGUUCAGGAGUUGCACAAAGCCGUCAGCUCUGAAAGGUCAACCUGCUCUAGACCGCACUGUAAAUGAAGCAACCAAAGUGGCCCUGGCAUCCCAGAUGAAGUUGAUUCUCUUCAUCAGCUGUCAAUUGAUUCUCCUACUAAAUACCUCAACACUGAACACCAGAGGUAAUUUAAUAAAGCUUUUGACAAACUGCCUCUCCUUCCUGGAUCAAUACAAAAAUAAAUACUACAUUAGUAAAUAGAGCAAUGCAUUGUUACUGACAAGAUAUAAUUAUUUGGUCAAUGUAAAAUAUUUCUGUCCAUUUCCUGACCUGAUCUGUCUGCCUCCCAGACACGUGUGGUAUCCGACUCUUUCAGAGCAAUCACACAAUGGAGUCCUCUUAACGAGCAACGCAGCAGCUAAGGAGGAAAGUCCUCACCAUGCCAACAUGGCUCACCGGCCUGCUGAGAGCCGAGCAGCACCUGACAGAUGCCACUUUGUGGGCAAAAUCCCAGAGGGCUCCAAAGAGCCGGUACAGGACUGAAGCCAAGGGAGCAGGAGACUGGAAUACCAAAACACGUUACAGUCAUAUAUAUAAAUAUGAUUGCUGAAAUUCAUUUAACUAUCCACACUUAAAGCUGCAGUAGUAAAGCAAAUGUUUUUUACAUAUUUGUUGUUAAGAGACAGAUAAUCUUUUAAAAGAUCAACUUCCUCCACCUGCUCCCAGAGCAAUUAUUGCUGUCUCAAGAAAUGCACCACUCCUGACCAAAAACACCCAAUCAGAGCAGAAGGAAGGUCUUAGUGCUGUCAAUCAGUCUUGUGUACUUGCUGCUAAAUGUGCUAAUGGCAGAGAAACAAUUUACCAUUAAAG